rnacentral:rRNA from 1 species
UACGGAGGUUGCAAGCGUUAUCCGGAUUUAUUGGGUUUAAAGGGUGCGUAGGCGGGGCCAUAAGUCAGUGGUGAAAUACUGUCGCUUAACGAUAGCAUUGCCAUUGAUACUGUGGUUCUUGAGUGUAGUUGAGGUAGGCGGAAUGUGUAGUGUAGCGGUGAAAUGCUUAGAUAUUACACAGAACACCGAUUGCGUAGGCAGCUUACUAAACUAUAACUGACGCUGAGGCACGAAAGCGUGGGGAUCAAACAGG